rnacentral:rRNA from 1 species
UGAGGAAUCUUGCGCAAUGGGCGAAAGCCUGACGCAGCGACGCCGCGUGGAGGAUGACGGUUUUCGAAUUGUAAACUCCUGUUAAGCGGGAAGAAAGGCUCAUCUUUAAUACAGAUGAGACAUGACGGUACCGCUAGAGAAAGCACCGGCUAACUUCGUGCCAGCAGCCGCGGUAAUACGAGGGGUGCAAGCGUUAUUCGGAUUAAUUGGGCGUAAAGGGUGCGCAGACGGUUUACUAAGUCACUUGUUAAAUUCUUCGGCCUAACUGAAGGUAUGCAAGCGAUACUGAUAGACUAGAGAGUGGAAGAGAGAAGUGGAAUUCUCGGAGUAGCGGUAAAAUGCGUAGAUCUCGAGAGGAACACCAAUGGCGAAGGCAGCUUCUUGGUCCAUUUCUGACGUUCAGGCACGAAAGCGUGGGGAGCAAACAGG